rnacentral:sRNA from 1 species
UAUUGUGGGUGGCUGUUCUGAGGUAUUU